rnacentral:rRNA from 1 species
AUUGAACGCUGGCGGCAGGCCUAACACAUGCCAGUCGAACGGUAACAGGAAGAAGCUUGCUUAUUUGCUGACGAGUGGCGGACGGGUGAGUAAUGUCUGGGAAACUGCCUGAUGGAGGGGGAUAACUACUGGAAACGGUAGCUAAUACCGCAUAACGUCGCAAGACCAAAGAGGGGGACCUUCGGGCCUCUUGCCAGCGGAUGUGCCCAGAUGGGAUUAGCUAGUAGGUGGGGUAACGGCUCACCUAGGCGACGAUCCCUAGCUGGUCUGAGAGGAUGACCAGCCACACUGGAACUGAGACACGGUCCAGACUCCUACGGGAGGCAGCAGUGGGGAAUAUUGCACAAUGGGCGCAAGCCUGCUGCAGCCAUGCCGCGUGUAUGAAGAAGGCCUUCGGGUUGUAAAGUACUUUCAGCGGGGAGGAAGGGAGUAAAGUUAAUACCUUUGCUCAUUGACGUUACCCGCAGAAGAAGCACCGGCUAACUCCGUG